GACGAACGCUGGCGGCGUGCUUAACACAUGCAAGUCGAACGAUGAAGCUGGAGCUUGCUCCGGUGGAUUAGUGGCGAACGGGUGAGUAACACGUGAGAAAUCUGCCCUUGACUCUGGGAUAACUGCGGGAAACUGUAGCUAAUACCGAAUAUUUUCCUUGGUGGGCAUCCACUGGGGAAGAAAGAAUUUCGGUCAAGGAUGAUCUCGCGGCCUAUCAGCUAGUUGGUGAGGUAAUGGCUCACCAAGGCGACGACGGGUAGCCGGCCUGAGAGGGUGACCGGCCACACUGGGACUGAGACACGGCCCAGACUCCUACGGGAGGCAGCAGUGGGGAAUAUUGCACAAUGGGCGCAAGCCUGAUGCAGCAACGCCGCGUGAGGGAUGAAGGCCUUCGGGUUGUAAACCUCUUUUAGCAUGGAAGAAGCGAAAGUGAGGGUACCUGCAGAAAAAGCACCGGCUAACUACGUGCCAGCCGCCGCAGUAA
rnacentral:rRNA from 1 species